rnacentral:rRNA from 1 species
UAGGGAAUCUUCGGCAAUGGGGGGAACCCUGACCGAGCAACGCCGCGUGAGUGAAGAAGGUUUUCGGAUCGUAAAGCUCUGUUGUUAAGGAAGAACGAGUGUGAGAAUGGAAAGUUCAUGCUGUGACGGUACUUAACCAGAAAGGGACGGCUAACUACGUGCCAGCAGCCGCGGUAAUACGUAGGUCCCGAGCGUUGUCCGGAUUUAUUGGGCGUAAAGCGAGCGCAGGCGGUUAGAAAAGUCUGAAGUGAAAGGCAGUGGCUCAACCAUUGUAGGCUUUGGAAACUGUUUAACUUGAGUGCAGAAGGGGAGAGUGGAAUUCCAUGUGUAGCGGUGAAAUGAGUAGAUAUAUGGAGGAACACCGGUGGCGAAAGCGGCUCUCUGGUCUGUAACUGACGCUGAGGCUCGAAAGCGUGGGGAGCGAACAGG